AUUGAACGCUGGCGGCAUGCCUAACACAUGCAAGUCGAACGGAGAGGCGGGCGGGUGAGUAAUGCCCAGGAACCUGCCUGGUAGUGGGGUACAACGUCCGGGAACGGGCGCUGAUACCGCCUACUACCAGAUGAGCCUUGGUAGGAUUAGCUAGUGGGUGGGGUAAAGGCCUACCAAGGCGACGAUCCGUAACUGGGCGGAGAGGAGGAUCAGUCACACUGGAACUGAGACACGGUCCAGACUCCUACGGGAGGCAGCAGUGGGGAAUAUUGGACAAUGGGCGAAAGCCUGAUCCAGCCAUGCCGCGUGUGUGAAGAAGGCCUUCGGGUUGUAAAGCACUUUCAGCGGGGAGGCGGUACCCGCAGAAGAAGCACCGGCUAACGCCGUGCCAGCCGCCGCGGUAAUUC
rnacentral:rRNA from 1 species